GCAUAUCAAUAAGCGGAGGAAAAGAAACCAACCGGGAUUGCCUUAGUAACGGCGAGUGAAGCGGCAAAAGCUCAAAUUUGAAAUCUGGUACCUUCGGUGCCCGAGUUGUAAUUUGGAGAGGGCAACUUUGGGGCCGUUCCUUGUCUAUGUUCCUUGGAACAGGACGUCAUAGAGGGUGAGAAUCCCGUGUGGCGAGGAGUGCGGUUCUUUGUAAAGUGCCUUCGAAGAGUCGAGUUGUUUGGGAAUGCAGCUCUAAGUGGGUGGUAAAUUCCAUCUAAAGCUAAAUAUUGGCGAGAGACCGAUAGCGAACAAGUACAGUGAUGGAAAGAUGAAAAGAACUUUGAAAAGAGAGUGAAAAAGUACGUGAAAUUGUUGAAAGGGAAGGGCAUUUGAUCAGACAUGGUGUUUUGUGCCCUCUGCUCCUUGUGGGUAGGGGAAUCUCGCAUUUCACUGGGCCAGCAUCAGUUUUGGUAGCAGGAUAAAUCCAUAGGAAUGUAGCUUGCCUCGGUAAGUAUUAUAGCCUGUGGGAAUACUGCCAGCUGGGACUGAGGACUGCGACGUAAGUCAAGGAUGCUGGCAUAAUGGUUAUAUGCCGCCCGUCUUGAAACACGGACC
rnacentral:rRNA from 1 species